rnacentral:lncRNA from 1 species
GAUAUAUGCAGGCGGAAACACUUUUGAAAUAGAACAAAAUAAUCGAAUCUCUGUGUUUAUCGAGAAAGCGAUAAAUGUUAACUGUAAUGUUUGAUAUAGUAACAAAAUUAUAAAAAGUUAAUAAGAACAAAUUAAACGACGAUUUUUUUAUUCUAAAAACAGCAUUUGCAUAAGUUUUCAAUGUAUCUAUUACAUAGUAAUGCAAAACAAUAAGAUAUCAAGUCGACGACAUGGUUCUUAUCGGGGCCUUUUAUAGCUGACUAUGCGGUAUGGGCUUUGCUCAUUGUUGAAGGCCUUACGGUUACCUAUAGUUGUUAAUGUUUGUGUCAUUUUGGUCUUUUCAGGAUAGUUGUCUCAUUGGCAAUAAUACCACAUCUUCUUUUUUAUAUGUAGUAUCUAAAGUUGGAUGUAGAAAAUGCAUAACCUCCGAUUUUUUUUUUAUCACGGACGGAGAACAUAUCAAUCUUUUAGUUCAGAAAUUUUCGUGUCUGCCCUUCCAUUAUGUGGAUCAAGAAAAAAUGCCCCAAAACAGGCAACGAUUGUAUCGAAAAGAGAAAAAUCGAGUGCACCUUUUUAUGUUAGGGCAUGUUUGGGGUGUAUAUUUUGUCUUUAAAACGUACAAAGCAAGAGUAUUUUAUAUAGCAUCUCGCUUCAGAUUCUAUCAUUAUUAUAUAUCAA